UGGCAGCAUAAGAAAAAGAAGAAAAAAAGUGCAUAGAAUUCUGCCUUGAACAUCACUGUCCACGGGCUGCCUUCAAAAGACAGAAGGGCUCUACCAUGGAAUGCCUGUUUCAGAUUUAAAAAAUAACCUGCUGAGAUAUGCUGGCAGGGCUUCCUUCAGCAGCCACAAGAAGCUUCUCAGGUGAGAAGAAACCCACUGCUGUUAGCACUAUAGAUUUCUUUAAGGUCAUAGGCCUCUUCCGAUUAGGGGUAUCAUCCAUCUCUGGUGGCCUUUCCCUCCUGAAGCUGGGGAAAUAUUUCCUCCCCCUCCAACCCAUUUACCACCCGCUCCAUAUAACCGCCUUGAAGACCUCUUUGGGCUUGAAGAAUAACUUAAGACAGUUUUCCUAUUGAGUGCUGAACAUUUGCCUCCCCCUCCCCCUCCAGCCUGUCACUCUUUCCGGGCUUGUGACUGCUUCAGAAUUGUGAACUUCAAAUUUCCCCACAGUUUUGUUGAUCCUGGGCUUUUGAUUCAAGGGCCUGUCUGGCAGGAGAUGGCCUAAACACAUCAGCAAUAGCAGAUGACAAAUGCCAAAACAGAAAGAAAAUAGGAUACAAAUGAUUUCCUCCUACAUAUUUACAUUUACCUGCUCCAGAGAUUGUGCAUUUGGGGUUCUACCCGUUAUUAAGUAGGAGCCUACGUUAUGCCUAUAAUGACCUCAUCAUGCUGCGUGAUUAUGGGCUGCAGCCGCCAAACACUUUCAGACGACACUGUGAACUUUAAAUUGGCACUCCAAUCUCCCAGUGGCCUGUCAGUCAUGAGAAUCGCGUCUUUAUGCCAGCAAGCCCCUUGGAUGGAGUCUGACAUUGCAAUCUUCAGUAAAUUACCCUGUCACUGACAAUCUUGCAGUUAUCUCGCAAACAAUCAAGCAGGCAAUCAAACUGUUCUGAAUUACCAGUUCAGGACCUGAGAGGUGGCCGAUGUCUCCAUUCAACAGCAGAGGGAAAGCGGCCCGGCCCUCCUAUGACAAUGGACGAUUUAUUUAUUUAUUUAUCUACCUACUUAUUUGUUAGUCUGGUUGGCUUUUUCCUGGGGAAGGGGGUGAGGAUGGUGGGAGAGGUUUGCGGAGUCCUCAAAAAGGGCCCAAUACUGACUCAGCGGUUAUGGGAAAGCGACUUAGGCCUUCCGAAUCAGCCCACACUGCGGUGGCUCAUGUCUGCUUAAUCUUACUUCACUCAGUGAAACGGGGCCAAAAAGAAUUAUCUAGGUGUUUUCUGUCAGAACGGACGCUAAAUCACAGCUCUGGUUCUAGUCUACUCAUACACGUCAUAAGCUAAUUGUAAUGACAAUUUCAGAGAAAUGUGAUCAUGGAGAAACUUUCUGGGAAUGAUACCAAGGCAUUCUAUUUAUUGCUUUUGAUAAAGCAAAUCAGAGAGAUUCUUCCAUAACGGUUCUGGCAACGUGAAACAGGUUCAUUAAUGCUGAAUUGAAACCUUUGGAUUAGAAGUCCCAAGGUAAAAAGCCAAAAAUUCUACACAGCAUCAGAGGUGACAGCCUGGCCUCUGGAAUCAGAUGGAUUUGGGUUUGAAGCUCAUCUCUGCUAGUUCCCUGGCUGUGUGAGGUUGGAAAGGAGGGGUGACGCUUCCUUCCCCAAGGAAGUCUGAAGACAAGGCAGUGGACACCCAUCAACAGGGGAAAGAGAAAAUGAAUGAAUGGGAGCUCUGUAAACCACAUCAGCAACCUCGAAAAUGUCCAACUGCAAAGACCCAUGUCUACAAAUUGCUGUCAGCCAGAGGAAUGGCUGUAACUUCCUUGGUGCCGAGAGAUGGGAUUUCAUUAUGUUGGCCAGGCUGGUCUCGAACUCCUGACCUCGUGAUCCGCUCGCCUUGGCCUCCUGAAGUGCUGGAACUAUAGGCGUGAGCCACCGUGCCUGGUCAAGAUAAUUUCUUAUAGGACAACAGGACAGGAUCACCCAGGAAAAGAUGGACUCCCUGCUCAGUUCCUACUUACAGUAUCUGAGUCACUUAACUAAAUGCAAUCGGCCCAGCUGCAGGCACCACUGCUCGGGCCACUAUAAGAACCAGUCCCUGAGCUUCCGGACAGGAAACAGCAUCUGCAUUUCCAGACUGUAGCAGCUCAUCAUGCCAGGCUCCACAGGCAAGAAUCAAGCAGAUGGAAGCUACAGAGGAAACAAACAGGGUU
rnacentral:antisense_RNA from 1 species